GGGCCGGUAGAUCAGCGGAAGAUCGCCUGCUUUGCAAGCAGGAAGCCCUGGGUUCAAAUCCCAGCCGGUCCA
rnacentral:tRNA from 3 species